AACUAGAUGAUGGGCUGUUGGGGAAUGCAGGGCCAGCGCUCUAGGAAAGUGAAACUGCCUUGCAGAGGGAAAGCAACCCACUGUGGCCCCGAAAGACCCAGACCGCCAGCGGCCCCGGGCAGCCGCCGAGGGCACCGGCUCACACUUCCUGCCUUUCACAAGCUCUUGCUUGGCAUGCAUUGGUGACUUGAACUGGGGGGUUAACCCAAAAAGAUCAAGUGCGAGCUCAAGGCGGAUGAUGAGAACAGAUUCGGGGCUGGUUAACCUCAGAGAGCGGGAGUCCGUUGGUGCUAAUGAGGCCAAGGGAGCCCGGCUCCUUUCUGCCCCCAGGCAGGUGAGAAAGAAAGAACGGAGACGAAAGAGGGCCCGCUGUGUCUACUCCUCUUGGCCCGGAAGCCCAGCUCGACCCUGAGGCCACAAACUGCCCCCUACUGGAGAAAUCGCUGCAGGAUUUCUCCUCCAUCAAAUCGCUGUGUCAGAGCCAGUUGGGGGCUUUUAAAAGACGCCCACGCUCAGGCCCGCACCAGGCCACCUACACUGGAAUAUCUGAGGCUAAGUCCCAAGCUAGAAUUUCCCAUCUUCUUUCUGGCCUUGGGAGAUUUUGCAUCUCCUCCCAGGGAAGGAAGCCUGACUUGUGAAAUGAUUCUCACGAAGGAGAAGUGCUCCGUUCUGCAGUGAGCCUGGCCAGGGGGGCCACACCACAGACUCCCAGGAGGCUUCUGCUCUGCGUGGUUCUUCUGCUCUCGUUUCCUUAACGAUUGGGCCAGAGCAUCUCUGCUCUUGUAAAAUAUCAGGCAAUUAGAUCUCGAAGUCUUUGAAGUGGGCAGAUUCACCAGGCGUUGGACUGAAGUUUCUAUUUGUCCUGGCACUGAGAAUAGCAAAGGAACAGGGGGACUGAACUGGUAUGGAAAGAGGCAUAGAGAGGUGAAGUCUCUUGCUGAUAUCUUCUAGACCGGGCUGGCUGCAGGGUCUGUUGCUCUCAACCAGAGGAAAUAGAAUCAUGAAAGAACAAGGGAGCCAGUUGCCAUGUCAUGGGGAGGACACUCAGGCAGCCCCGUGGGGAGACUCAUGUGAGGAGGAACUGAGAUGUCUUGCCAACAGCCGUAUGAGGGAGCCAUCUUGUAAAUGAAUCUUCCAGUCCCAAUCAAGUCUUCAGAUGACCAGAGCCUCAGCUGAUAACUUGGCUGCAGCCUCAUGAGAGAUCCUGAGCCAGAACCACUCAGCCAAG